rnacentral:rRNA from 1 species
AGAGUUUGAUCCUGGCUCAGGAUGAACGCUGGCGGCGUGCCUAAUACAUGCAAGUCGAACGCGAGCAGCAAUGCUCGAGUGGCGAACGGGUGAGUAAUACAUAAGUAACCUGCCCUAGACAGGGGGAUAACUGCUGGAAACGGCAGCUAAGACCGCAUAGGUAUGGACACUGCAUGGUGACCAUAUUAAAAGUGCCAAGGCACUGGUAGAGGAUGGACUUAUGGCGCAUUAGCUGGUUGGUGAGGUAACGGCUCACCAAGGCGACGAUGCGUAGCCGACCUGAGAGGGUGACCGGCCACACUGGGACUGAGACACGGCCCAGACUCCUACGGGAGGCAGCAGUAGGGAAUCUUCGGCAAUGGGGGCAACCCUGACCGAGCAACGCCGCGUGAGUGAAGAAGGUUUUCGGAUCGUAAAGCUCUGUUGUAAGUCAAGAACGAGUGUGAGAGUGGAAAGUUCACACUGUGACGGUAGCUUACCAGAAAGGGACGGCUAACUACGUGCCAGCAGCCGCGGUAAUACGUAGGUCCCGAGCGUUGUCCGGAUUUAUUGGGCGUAAAGCGAGCGCAGGCGGUUUGAUAAGUCUGAAGUUAAAGGCUGUGGCUCAACCAUAGUUCGCUUUGGAAACUGUCAAACUUGAGUGCAGAAGGGGAGAGUGGAAUUCCAUGUGUAGCGGUGAAAUGCGUAGAUAUAUGGAGGAACACCGGUGGCGAAAGCGGCUCUCUGGUCUGUAACUGACGCUGAGGCUCGAAAGCGUGGGGAGCGAACAGGAUUAGAUACCCUGGUAGUCCACGCCGUAAACGAUGAGUGCUAGGUGUUGGAUCCUUUCCGGGAUUCAGUGCCGCAGCUAACGCAUUAAGCACUCCGCCUGGGGAGUACGACCGCAAGGUUGAAACUCAAAGGAAUUGACGGGGGCCCGCAC